AGAGUUUGAUCAUGGCUCAGGACGAACGCUGGCGGCGUGCUUAAUACAUGCAAGUCGAACGAUCCCGGGACUUCGGUCCCAAUGGGAGAGUGGCGAACGGGUGCGUAACACGUGAGAAACCUAUCCCGGAGAUGGGAAUAGCCCAGGGAAACCUGGAUUAAUGCCCAAUACCCUGAGAGCGCCGCAUGGCGCAUUCAGGAAAGGUUCCGGCGCUUUGGGAGGGUCUCGCGGCCUAUCAGCUUGUUGGUGAGGUAAAGGCUCACCAAGGCAUCGACGGGUAGCUGGUCUGAGAGGACGAUCAGCCACACUGGGACUGAGACACGGCCCAGACUCCUACGGGAGGCAGCAGUAGGGAAUCUUGCGCAAUGGGCGAAAGCCUGACGCAGCAACGCCGCGUGGGGGAUGAAGGCCUUCGGGUCGUAAACCCCUUUCAGCAGGGACGAAAUUGACAGUACCUGCAGAAGAAGCGCCGGCCAACUACGUGCCAGCAGCCGCGGUAAUACGUAGGGCGCAAGCGUUGUCCGGAUUUAUUGGGCGUAAAGGGCUCGUAGGCGGUUCGGUAAGUCGGGUGUGAAAACUCAGGGCUCAACCCUGAGACGCCACUCGAUACUGCCAUGACUAGAGUCCGGUAGAGGAGUGCGGAAUUCCUGGUGUAGCGGUGAAAUGCGCAGAUAUCAGGAGGAACA
rnacentral:rRNA from 1 species